ACUGAAUAGAUACCCGGGUAGUCCACGCCCUAAACGAUGUCAACUGGUUGUUGGGAAUUCAUUUUCUCAGUAAACGAAAGCUAAACGCGUGAAGUUGACCGCCUGGGGAGUACGGCCGCAAGGCUAAAACUCAAAGGAAUUGACGGGGACCCGCACAAGCGGUGGAUGAUGUGGUUUAAUUCGAUGCAACGCGAAAAACCUUACCCACCUUUGACAUGUACGGAACUUGCCAGAGAUGGCUUGGUGCCCGAAAGGGAGCCGUAACACAGGUGCUGCAUGGCUGUCGUCAGCUCGUGUCGUGAGAUGUUGGGUUAAGUCCCGCAACGAGCGCAACCCUUGCCAUUAGUUGCUACGAAAGGGCACUCUAAUGGGACUGCCGGUGACAAACCGGAGGAAGGUGGGGAUGACGUCAAGUCCUCAUGGCCCUUAUAGGUGGGGCUACACACGUCAUACAAUGGCUGGUACAGAGGGUUGCCAACCCGCGAGGGGUAGCUAAUCCCACAAAGCCAGUCGUAGUCCGGAUCGCAGUCUGCAACUCGACUGCGUGAA
rnacentral:rRNA from 1 species